CACUCUUUAUAUGAGCCUUGUGAAUGAAUGUUUAUAUUACACAGUGUUUACCAUGGUGUUCUCUUUAGGAAAAAUAGGAUAUGGCCAAAUCUAACAUAAAGCCUGCUAAAGUCCAUUGAAGGAUUUUGUUUGAAAUAUGUUAUUUUUUCUGCAGUUCCUAAGUUUGUUUCUAAAGUAGAAGAUUCUGAAAAUACUUGAAGUUUUCAAGACUAGAUUAUGCAGUCAUUUCCUGGAAGGAUAUUUUCCGUUAACAGCUUUGUCUUGGAAACAACUAACAUGCAGUAGGUUUCCCCUCCCCCCAUCUUUUGGUAAGGACUAUCGUACUAAAGUUUUGAAAAUCAUUCGUUUUAAAUCAACUAAAGCGCAAUCU
rnacentral:sRNA from 1 species